UCCUUUUCUGAAUAGGAAAAACUAUCAUUCCAUCAAUGCGGAACUAAUUUGUGACGCUAAAUGUGCACUACUUAAUGUAGUGGCCCGCUGGCCGGGUGGUACUCAUGAUAGUUUCAUUCUUCGGAGCAGCUCAGAUGCUAGACGUCUGGACAGUGGUGCAGUUACAGACGGAUGGCUAAUUGGUGACAAUGGUUAUCCCCUGACACCAUGGCUUAUGACCCCAUUGAUAAAUCCCCAAAGCCGGCAAGAGAUGGCAUACAAUGAAGCACACACAAAAUCUCGGUCAGUUAUUGAACGCACAAACAGCAUCUUAAAGGGGCGCUGGCGGUGUUUGGACACAUCAGGUGGUACACUGUUAUACAGACCAGAAAAGGUUUGCAAAAUAAUAUUGGCCUGCUCCGUUCUACACAACAUUGCCAUGGAACAUGGUCUGCCAGACCCAGAGGAUAUAAUUAGACCUGAUCAUGGUAUGGUGCCUCCAAUUUUGCCAAUCCGACACAUAGACAUAACUCUUGCUGCAAUUGCAAAGCGACAGGAACUGAUUCUACGUUUCUAAAAAGGCAACACUGCGGGACGCUGCUGGAUAUACCGGUUCAGGGGCCGGAAGAUGAACGGACCCGGUUGCCGCUUCAGUGGUCUCAUGGGCGGACACAGUUGGCAUUUGUCUGUCUUUACAAAAAAGUAAAAUCUGCUCAAAUGUAAACUGCUUUGUGUAUU